CUGAUGCUCUUGCAGCACUUAAAAAUAUCUGCAUGACCUGUUUUUAUUAUUAUUAAUAAAAGGUGCAUUAUGCAAGAGCUAAAUCUGCCUAUUAAUUAGACAUUUAUUAACAUGACAAGACCAUACUCAACUUUCCAUGUUUGACUUAAUCUAAAAAUGGAGGAGGUUGCAAUUAUUACACACGUCUUGUCAAACCUUCAAAGACUAAUAUCUUCACUCACAAUAGAGUAAUUUGAACGAAGUUUUCAAAUUAUUCAUUUUAUAUUAUCUAUUUUCGGACUAUUAUAGCGAGAAUGGUUAGCUCUUUAUCCAAAUCUUACAUAAUGUAUCUUCAAUUGCUAAUUAAUUAUUAGGAAGGAUCGUCUGAGAAACAGAAUAUUAUUUUGUUUGGCCUUGUCUGUGUUCUUCAUAUUUCUUCUAUAAAAUUGAUAUAUUACAUAUGUUUUUACUAGAGCUGUGUUUUGCAGCGUAAAAUCGUUUCACAACAUAGUGUUCAAUCUGAUUAAAACACAGAUACUAUUUCGUUUCGUUUUUUUUAUAGUUCAAAAUUUCGUUUUACUUGUCUUUACUACACUAGGAUCUGAAAGAGUUGUUAUAUAACCCGCGUUCUGGAUGAUUUGAGUUAUUAGCCAAUGAAACGGUCUGUUAUGGCGAGUUUUUGGCGCGAGAUGCACGGAACUGUGGGUAACCCACUAGUAAUACCAACUCUGAUUGGUUAAUUAAAUGUCUGACGUCAUAAGGUCAAAAGCAACUCGUAUGACCCCUGACGCAACCUUCCACUACAACUUUUCAGAUCUUCAUGUAGUGAGGGCCAUCGAAAGUAUAAAAAACGAAACGAAAUAUAGAUCUGUAUUUGAAUCGGAUUGAUAAUGUUAUACAUAAUAUACAAUACAAUAUCAUAGUGUUAUACAUGUACAUAAUAUACAUGUACAUGUACAAUACAAUAUCAUAGUGUUAUACAUGUACAUAAUAUACAUGUAUAAUACAGUAUCCAAUAAAUGUUAGUAGACCGGCCAUAGACAUUGUCAGACACACGAUAUCACAUAACUUACAUGUUAAAAUAUAUAGGUUGUGGGGUAUUCAUGCCUGAAAACAUCGAUGACCAGUGCCUUCUGUGCAGGCCCGAAUAUAGACCUACAGUAUACAUGUAUGUUUAUGACUAGCUAGGGGAUACGACACUUGUCACGCACAAUUUCAGACUCUUGUCACGCAAGAUAUCUGACUUUGUCACGCACAAAACCUCCCGCCCAGUGCCGUUCAUUUGUCUGUUUUAUUAAUACUGAUACAUGUCUGACACAAAGUUUAAAAUAGUGUCUGGUACCAGUAGUCCAUUAGUGCCUGACAUCGGGUACUUGUCCAUUAGGGCCUGACAUCGGGUACUUGUCCAUUAGGGCCUGACAUCGGGUACUUGUCCAUUAGGGCCUGACAUCAGAUACCAGUAGUCUAUUAAUGUCUGGCAUCAGGUACUUGUCCAUUAAUGCCUGACAUCAGAUACGUGUCCAUUAAUGCCUGACAUUUGUCAGUUAAAAUUACAACUGUUAUUACACAUGUACCAGUCCUGUGUAUAUGUGAAUAUAAAAGAGAAAAACACUCAUUUCUCAACUGUUAUAAGAUAUACAGCACAAGAUACGUGUCUAUACAUUUUAAAAUUACAUCGAUAGAGCUUUCUCCCGUCAAAAAGGUGUGGCAAAUUUCCACGUAUUAUUAGGUCUCGUUGUUAUUCACGCCCAUGACAUUGACAAGCGUGAAGUUUUCAAGUCAAAAUUAAACAUACAUUAUGCAAGAGCUAAAUCUGCCUAUUGCAGGUCUUUCUUUAGGCCUGAAAUGUUAUCUAAAUUAUUAAUUAGACAUUAUUUAACUUAUCCAGAGCAUAAUCCACUCUUGAUGACAUCGCUAGCCUGCGAUAUUUACUGAAUUAGGAUCCCAUUUGCCUCUCAACUUUUAUUGAUGAUUAAAUAAAAAAAUUGAUAAUUGAGACAUGUUUUUUAUGUACUUUAGUAAUGAUUUAUGAGGCUAAAAUUCAAUCGCUAAAUUCUCGGUUCAGAGUUAAUCAAUUUGAUUGAAAUUUUCAGCAAACCCCCUUUACAUUAUUUAAUUUUAACUAUUAAAUUGAGAAUUGCCAACUCUUUACCUUAUCUCCCCCAUAAUGUAUCUUUAAUCUUUUUACUAUGUUGUACGAGCCAUGCACUCAUUGAAAAAUGGUUAAUUCCAUAAACGUUAUAAAAUCUCAUGGACUUUGUUUAUUUUGUUUAUAUUUUUAUAAUUUUGUUAAGAUAAGACAUAAUAAUUUAAACUAUUUGUUGAAAAUAUUUUUUUCAUUUUCAUCGAAAUGCUUAAAAUUAUCUUUCUUGGAACCAAUAGCAAUGGUCGUUGCUGUAGGGAAAGAUGCUGGAUUAUUCAUUAAAGGAAAUAUAUAAAUCGCUAAUAUUUGGGACCUGGAAAUUAACAUAAAUGGGUCGCAACACAUAAAAUAAUGUAAUAUGAAUGUAUAUAAACUGAUUUACAUUCAAUCGUUUCCAUUUUUACUGUAAUUUCAAAGCAGUUAUGUUCGGCAAAAUACGCCAGAAGUCUCAAUCGAAUGGUAAUCUCUAGCGACUGGUUAUUCCAUUUUAUACCGUUAGUAUUUAUUGCGCAUGCUCUCCAGAUAAGAAUAUGGGGUCACCGUUUGACAUGACUUGUGCAAUAUGUCUAACCCCGUUUCUCGGGUUGCUUGUUCGGUGAAAUAUGCCAGAAGUCUCAAUCGAAUGGCAAUCACUAGCAUCUGGUUAUUCCAGUCUAUGUCGUUAGUGUUUAUUGUGCAUGCUCUCCAGAUAAGAAUAUGGCGUCACUGUUUGAAAUGACUUCUGGAAUAUGUCUAGCCUUGUUCUUCGAGUCCCUUGUUACAAAUGGCACUGAAACGCAUUAUGGUACACGAUUCGUGUACCAAUGGUAAAAUGUUUAUUUUAUCUUACAUAUUGGAUAUCAGAACCCCAUCUUUUCCCGGUAAGAUCAAAACAUCAAUGUUGAUUUAAAUUGACAAAUAAUUCGUGUUUUCAAUGUCAAAGACUUAGGAUGAUAUUGAGUUAGAGAUUUAGCUACUUUAAAGAUGAAAUUUCAUAUUUUUAAGUUUUAUUUUUAAAAUUUAUUAAAAUAAAGCCUUAAAAUAGAUGGUAUCUAUAAACAGUCCUACCUUGUUAAAGAAUAAUUCUAUUAAUCCUAUAAUUCACUAUUGUCAUUUGAAAACAAGGGAGGUAAUUGUGUUAUUAUUUCCUGUGUCAAUGGUUUUUAAGUGUGAGAAUGAUACCUAUGAUCGUAUAAUAGUGAGUUGACAACCUAUUGAGCAAAAGACAUAGAAAUAAUUAUGUUUUGACUUUCUUAGAAAAUAUGAAAUUGUAACUUUAAAACACCGUGAAAUACACAAUUUAUAUACAAGUAUUGUACAGGCGGAAGAGUACCAAUAGAUGAAUAUGCCGCAGAUGUUUCCCUCAAAGCACACUGCAUGGCGUAUGCCAGUUUUCAUUAAUUCAGAUCUGAACGGAUGAAUCAAUAAAUCCUGUAUAGGUCAAGACUGAUGUUCAGAUCUGAACGACGUCUUUGUUAUCUUACAUGGUGCAUAAAAGUAGAACGUUAAACCCUAUUUUAUUUUAUUUUAUACAAGUAUAUAUUCUCGUUGGUGCACAUGUGACCAGAAGUUACAUAUUUAUGCAACCUGGUUUAUUUAUUAUGUUAUGUUUGUACCAUUCAAUCUGAUUAAAACACAGAUCCUAUUUCGUUUCAUUUUAUAUAGUUCAAAAUUUCGUUUUACUUGUCUUUACUACACUGGGAUCUGGAAGAGUUGUUAUCAUUGACAUGUUCUGAAUGGUGCAAGAUAUUAGCCAAUGAAACGUCCUGUUACGGCGAGCUUUAGGCGUGUUUUUCACGGAACUGUGGGUAAUCCUAUCCACAUCAAUGCUGAUUGGUUAAUCAAAUGUCUGACGUCAUAGGGUCAAAAGCCGCUCGUACGACCCCUGACGUGACCUAUCGCUAUAACUUGUUAGAUCUUCAUGUAGUGUAGGCCAUCGAAAGUAUAAAAAACGAAACGAAACGAAAUAUAGAUCUGUAUUAUAAUCAGUUUUACCUGUACAUGUAAAUUAGAAUCUGACUAUUUCUUUGUUAAAGGUGUUCAGAUCAUGUGAUCAUCCUUCGAUGUAUGGUGUUAGCAUUUUUAGCAUUAUUUAAAUGACAGUAUUUGCUUUAUGUACAUUUACUUAGUAUGAAAAUCUUCUUUUUUAUUCUAUAAUCUUUGAACACUCCAGUAUAUACAUAUAUAACCCAGUUCCUGUUCCAAGAUUGAUCUUUUUUUAUAUUUAGUUUUAUAGCUUAUUUUACAAUGUGCCUGCGAUUACUGUCCCGUAGAUAACCUCAAACCGUCUCCAUAAUAGAACUACAUGUAGUACUGGGUCCUUGAAUAUUUCACAGUAAUGUCAUAAGCUCGAGACCAUUAAACAACUUAAAUUACGUCACAAAAAUUUUAACUAUUAUAAAAAUGUACGCUUGGCACAUUGCCCGUACCAUUAUUUGAAAUGAUGAUACGCCACAUGAAAGGAUGAUGUCACAUUUGUAUUUUGAAAACUGUUAUCACUGCUAAUAGUAGUAAGAUUGCCCGUGCCAUUAUUUGAAAUGAUGAUACGCCAACAUGAAAGGAUGAUGUCACAUUUGUAUUUUGAAAACUGUUAUCACUGCUAAUAGUAGUAAGAGAGAGAGAGAUGGGGUUUAACGUCCACUCAACACAGACUAGGUCAUUUCGGGACUAACACAUGGUUUAAUUUUAUUUCAAUAAUUCGCUUGCGCGUAGGGGUCUUUAGCAGUGGGAGGAAACCGGAGGACCCGGAGAAAACUCACGAGGUUGGACAGGCGACCCUACUCCUUGCCACGUACAACCGGGGAUUCGAAAGCACGCCAGUUGACUCAAUGACAGACUUUAUGGUACAGCGCACACGUGCUAACCAUUCAACCACCCAACCCCCCAAUAAUAGUAAGACGUGUCAAUGUUAUUCAAUGUUCUCUCAACGUCUGUUCAUGUUAUAAUAAUUAGACCUACGUGUAUCGUAUUUGUAUAUUUCAAAAAAAUAAUAAUAAUAAUUUUUUAUGGUUCUACUAGAUCAUGUAAAUAUAGAGAUAUAUAUUAUUAUAUAUUUAUUAUUCUUAUUUGUAGAUUUUUUUGUAAAAUAUAUAUUUUUUUUAUACAAACUGCUCUUAUAUUAAACAAUUUAAAACAUU